GAUGAACGCUGGCGGCGUGCUUAACACAUGCAAGUCGAACGGUGAAGCAGGAGCUUGCUCUUGUGGAUCAGUGGCGAACGGGUGAGUAACACGUGAGCAACCUGCCCCUGACUCCGGGAUAAGCGCUGGAAACGGCGUCUAAUACUGGAUAUGUGAUGUGACCGCAUGGUCUGCAUCUGGAAAGAAUUUCGGGUGGGGAUGGGCUCGCGGCCUAUCAGCUUGUUGGUGAGGUAAUGGCUCAACAAGGCGUCGAAGGGUAGCCGGCCUGAGAGGGUGACCGGCCACACUGGGACUGAGACACGGCCCAGACUCCUACGGGAGGCAGCAGUGGGGAAUAUUGCACAAUGGGCGGAAGCCUGAUGCAGCAACGCCGCGUGAGGGAUGAAGGCCUUCGGGUUGUAAACCUCUUUUAGCAGGGAAGAAGCGAAAGUGACGGUACCUGCAGAAAAAGCACCGGCUAACUACGUGCCAGCCGCCGCCGUAA
rnacentral:rRNA from 1 species